CAUGUGAAGUCAUCCAGAGCUCAAGCCAUGAUCCCAUCUUUACAAUUAGAUUGGGAUGGAAUCCUGGCAAGUGGCUUUUCUUCUCUCUGGAUUUCUUUCUUCAUAAAAGUGAAAUAAUGCCACCCUCAUAAAGCUGAUAUGAGGGUUGGUGAAUGAAUUUGUGUAAUGUACCCAGGAGACCUCAGUAAAAGAAAGCUCUUAUUAUUGGAAUAGUCACAAAUAUAUACCAAUCUCCAAAAAUCUGUGGUGGACUUUCACUUUUGAGCUUCUGCCUGCCAAGAAAUAUCUCCGCUUAUCUAUGUCUUAUCAACUAUAGUAGGUAAAAUUCUAAUAUGUCCCCCUAGAUUUCCCACUCCUGGUAUAAUCCCCAAGACUAUGACUAUAGUGGAUUUUAUGUCCAUGAUUAUGGAACAGUUGAUUUCAAGAUAGGGAGAUUUUCCAGGCAAGCUUCACUUAACCACAUUAGCCUCUUUAAAGCAGAGAAUUUUCUUCAGCAGGUCACAAAAGAGGAAGUUAAAAAUUAGAAGCACAAGGGUUUGACAAGAUGUUGCUGGAUUAAAGAUGCAAGAGGCCACAUGUCAAGGAAUGCAGGCAGCCUCUAGGAGCUGAGCAUGGCCCUGGCUGACAGACAGCAGGGAAACAUGAACCUCAUUCCUACAGCCAAAAGGAACUGAAUUCUGCCAACCAGAAAAAUGAUCUUGGAGACAGAUUCUCCCCAGAACUUCCAGAUGAGAAUUUAGUCCAGUUGGCACCUUGAUUACAGCCUUGUGAAACUGAGCAAAGGACCCAGCCAUACAACAUGGGACUUUCAACCCAUACAAUUUUGAGAUAAUGAAUGAGUGUUGUAAGGUCAUUUGUUACAUAGCAAUGGAAUACUAAUACACCUGUGUUCAAGACCCACUUCUAGUUCUAUCUCUCUGACUUCCUACUGCAAAACCCUGGCAUAAGAUGUUUAUAUAAACCCUUUCUCCUUUCAUAGCACUUACCACAAUUGUCCUUUUUUUCAUUUUUUCAUUUUAAUUUUUUUAAUUUCUUUUUUUUUUUUUUUGGUCUUUUUUCUAGGGCCUCUUCCCGUGGCAUAUGGAGGUUCCCAGGCUAGGGGUCUAAUCGGAGCUGUAGCUGCCGGCCUACGCCACAGCUCACGGUAACACCAGAUCCUUAACCCACUGAGCAAGGCCAGGGAUCAAACCUGCCACCUCAUGGUUCCUAGUCGGAUUCCUUAACCACUGAGCCACAACGGGAACUUCCUUUUUCUUUCUUUUUUUCCUAAAUGGCUGCACCCAUGGCAUACAAAAGUUCCUAGGCCAGGGAUUGAGUCUCAGCAGCAGUUGCAACCUACACCACAGCUGUGACAAUGCUUGAUCCUUUAACCCAGUGCACCAAGCCAGGGAUGGAACCCGGGCCUCCACAGUAACCUGAGCUGCUGCUGAGGUUAACCCACUGUGCCACAGCAGGAACUCUGAAGUGUCCUUUUAUUAAAUGACCGUUUUACAUUUCCUUCCUUUCUCUCUGACUGAAGCUGCUAGAUGUCCCCCAAUAUCUCUUUCUGCUCUUCCUUUACAAUAAAAUUAUCCCAAGUUUAUAGCAGGGCACUUAGCCACAUGAUUUCAAAUUGUCACUUAGCAAGUUACAAAGCUUUAGUUUUCUCAUGUCUGGAGUGGGGUUAAUAUUAUUUUCAGCCUCAUUGAAUACAAAGAAUUUAGCACAUAAUAAGUAUUUGGAAAAUGCUACCACAGAGAAGAGAGAGGUGAGUUCACAGCCUGCCCUAGAUUAAGAACCAUUAUGGAAAUAAGUGAAAAAUUAUGAGAUGAAGACCAUGUGGUCAAGUUCCGAGGAAGAGAGCACCACAGACCUAAGGGUAAGAGUUUAUGGGAUGGCGGAACUAAAUCUGACCUCAAAGGAAGAACAAUAUUUGGUUAGGCAGGCAAGAGGGCAGACAUUCCAGAAUGAGCCAGACCUGGAGGUGGGAGCAUAUUCCAGGACAGUGAUUAAAUUAGUCAGACAGACAUGAAUGUUCAUACAGCUCAAAGAUAAGGAUGAAAAGGUAAAUUUCCACAAGAUUAAGGAAUCUGCAACAUUUGCUCGUGGUUGUAGUUAGCUCAACCUUACUUUUUGCCAUGUAAUUAGUUUGAAGGCCACUAAUAGUAGGGAACAUUGUAGGAUAUGUAAAGAUUUAACAUUUCCCAGUUAGGAAAAACUGGGAAGGCGUUUUUUGAUGGUGUCACUUACUUUACACAGGGAGUUCCUGUCAUGGCUCAGCAGUAUAGAACCCGACUAGUAUCCAUGAAGAGGUGGGUUUGAUCCCUAGCCUCACUCAGUGGGUUAAGGAACUGUCAUUGCCAUGAGCUGUGGUGUAGGUCACAGACAUGGCUCAGAUCUGGCAUUGCUGUGGCUAUGGCGUAGGCCUGCAGCUGGAGCUCCAAUUUGUCCCUAGCCUAGGAACUUCCAUGUGCUGCAGGUGCAGCCCUAAAAAAAUAAAAAAUAUUUUACACAGUGUCCAUGACAUGGGAAUCUUUGGAUUCUUUGAAGUCCAUAGCAAUUCUCUGAGGUAGGUGGAAAACAAGAAGCAUGGUUCUCUUCUAUUACAAAGAGGGGGAAUUGAGACAUAGUAGCAACUGUCAGUGUGAGUUCAGUUUGUAGACAUUAUAGUCAAGGAUAGAGCUGAAUAUAAAAUCUGAGUCUUCUGUAGUUAGCUGGGAUGCUCAGUUUGUCUCCAUGUUUCUGUGUUCUCCUCCUGAUAAGGUUUUGGACUGCUGUAUGUUGGUCAUGUGGCCAAGGACUGACUUACACCUACUCAAUUACACUUUAGUGCACUUCAUACCCACAUGGGUAAAUCUACAACUCGCAUACACAUUGCCUUCCUCCAGUUCACCACAGAUGUACCUUCUCUCUCUAAAGCAUGUCACCAGCCCCUUCCCCAUGCUGUCCCCACAGUGGCUCAAUCAGUAGUUCUUCCUUCCUUUCUCCAAAUGCUGCAUGUACACCCAACCCCACCUUCCACCCCCACCCAAAACCACAACCACUUCCACCAUCGCUUUGAAAACAAUGUGGUUCUUCUUUUUCUUUUUACCCUUGGCUUUAUUAAGAUAUAAUUAACAAAUAAAAACUAUUUAUUU
rnacentral:lncRNA from 1 species